rnacentral:misc_RNA from 1 species
GGGGAAUGGAUGGUUAUAUGCACAUGCAGCGCAACAGCGGCAAUUCUGAAGGCGUUUGUGGAAUCAACAUGCUUGCUUCAUAUCCAACUAAAACAAGUCCUAACCCUCCUCCCUCCCCUCCUCCAGGUCCAACAAAAUGUAGUAUUUUUACUAGCUGUGGUGCUGGGGAGACCUGUUGUUGCGCAAAGAAAUUCCUUGGCCUUUGUUUAUCUUGGAAAUGCUGUGGAUUGAGCUCUGCUGUAUGUUGCAAGGACGGUCGUCAUUGUUGCCCCUUCGAUUAUCCCAUUUGUGAUACUGACAGGAACCUAUGCCUCAAGCAAACGAGGAAUGGUACAAGAACAGAAGCACUUGAGAAUGGGAGUUCUUCCGGAACAUCUGGUACUUGGAGCUCGUUCUAAGGUUUGGAUUGUGUGAAAUGGCUUCAUUUAUAGAAUGAAUAAAGGCUGCCUGUUCUGUUACCACUGUGUUCUACAACCUUUUAGAUACACUUGGAGUCUAAAGAGGUUCAGUCUAAGAGGCUCCUUGAGUUGUUAUCACAUCACAUUGUAGUCUAAGAGGAGGUUCCUUUUGUCAUUAGCUUUCUGCUAUGUUCCAAGAACUUUCAUGGAUUAGCUUUGGAGGCUUCUUACCUCGGUCGAAGCCGGAGUUUUAUCAGGUUUUGGCUCAUCAGUUUCUUCAGGUUUCUGAUCAGAUUGCUACCUUUCAGGUUCUUAAAGUUGUAUUAGAUUAUAUCUUUAAAUGUUAUGGACUGAUUAGGAUCUCUGGGGUAAGUUGUUGCUUGUUACCCCUUUUGAGAACUUUGGUUCAUUUGUUGCUGCCC